UCGGAACAACACAGGGAAACUUGUGCUAAUACCGGAUAAGCCCUUACGGGGAAAGAUUUAUCGCCGAAAGAUCGGCCCGCGUCUGAUUAGCUAGUUGGUGAGGUAACGGCUCACCAAGGCGACGAUCAGUAGCUGGUCUGAGAGGAUGAUCAGCCACAUUGGGACUGAGACACGGCCCAAACUCCUACGGGAGGCAGCAGUGGGGAAUAUUGGACAAUGGGCGCAAGCCUGAUCCAGCCAUGCCGCGUGAGUGAUGAAGGCCCUAGGGUUGUAAAGCUCUUUUGUGCGGGAAGAUAAUGACGGUACCGCAAGAAUAAGCCCCGGCUAACUUCGUGCCAGCAGCCGCGGUAAUACGAAGGGGGCUAGCGUUGCUCGGAAUCACUGGGCGUAAAGGGUGCGUAGGCGGGUCUUUAAGUCAGAGGUGAAAUCCUGGAGCUCAACUCCAGAACUGCCUUUGAUACUGAGGGUCUUGAGUUCGGGAGAGGUGAGUGGAACUGCGAGUGUAGAGGUGGAAUUCGUAGAUAUUCGCAAGAACACCAGUGGCGAAGGCGGCUCACUGGCCCGAUACUGACGCUGAGGCACGAAAGCGUGGGGAGCAAACAGGAUUAGAUACCCUGGUAGUCCACGCCGUAAACGAUAAAUGCCAGCCGUUAGUGGGUUUACUCACUAGUGGCGCAGCUAACGCU
rnacentral:rRNA from 1 species